rnacentral:rRNA from 1 species
ACUCCUGCGGGAGGCAGCAGUGGGGAAUAUUGGACACUGGGCGCAAGCCUGAUCCAGCCAUGCCGCGUGAGUGAUGAAGGCCCUAGGGUUGUAAAGCUCUUUCACCGGUGAAGAUAAUGACGGUAACCGGAGAAGAAGCCCCGGCUAACUUCGUGCCAGCAGCCGCGGUAAUACGCAGGGGGCUAGCGUUGUUCGGAUUUACUGGGCGUAAAGCGCACGUAGGCGGACUAUUAAGUCAGGGGUGAAAUCCCGGGGCUCAACCCCGGAACUGCCUUUGAUACUGGUAGUCUUGAGUUCGAGAGAGGUGAGUGGAAUUCCGAGUGUAGAGGUGAAAUUCGUAGAUAUUCGGAGGAACACCAGUGGCGAAGGCGGCUCACUGGCUCGAUACUGACGCUGAGGUGCGAAAGCGUGGGGAGCAAACAGGAUUAGAAACCCUAGUAGUCCCAUGA